GAUGCCAAAUGGAUGCCAUAAGUCAGUCCUAAUGCCUGCGCAUGUGGUGAUCAGCACUCGCAUGAAGAGGUGCGAGGAUAGCAUCCUUCCAUGAGAAUUUUAUUACCAUUUUUAAUUUUUUAUAAUUUAGAUUGAAUCUCCAAUCCACAUUGAUUUUUGAGGAUUUUUUUGAUUUGAGAAGGGAUGUGAAAAUAUCCCUUCUUUGGUUGCACGUGCGCAGAUCAGGGUGCUG
rnacentral:lncRNA from 1 species